CACGUAGGGGGCGAGCGUUGUCCGGAUUUAUUGGGCGUAAAGAGCUCGUAGGCGGCUCGGUAAGUCAGGUGUGAAACCUCCAGGCUCAACCUGGAGACGCCACCUGAUACUGCCGUGGCUAGAGUCCGGUAGAGGAGCGUAGAAUUCCUGGUGUAGCGGUGAAAUGCGCAGAUAUCAGGAGGAACACCGGUGGCGAAGGCGGGUCUCUGGGCCGAUACUGACGCUGAGGAGCGAAAGCCAGGGGAGGCAAACGGG
rnacentral:rRNA from 1 species